CUCGCGGUUCGUGCGGCCGCGCCAUCGUGGGAGCCCGUGCGCGGCGCUGGAGUGGGUUGAUUGCAGUGCUGUAGCAAAAGUGUUACCUCCCUUCUCUGCUCUGGUUUCUGCUGAACUGUGGAAGGACACRGUAACAGAAAUGAACUUACGAGCUUACGUGGAGUACAUUGAAGAACUGGGAGGAGAAUGUAAAUCAGAGGUUGUAUUGGAAGUUCUCGGAGUUUGAUUCAAAUCUUGAAAUAGUCGCAAUGUAAAGGCAUUGGAGCAAAAAAACUUGUGACUCACGUAAGUUGAAAGYACAGAUUUGCUUUAUGAAAGUACUACUCUUCCAAGUAGUUUCAAACCUGUCUGCAUGAGGUUCUACAGAAAUACAAAACUUCUGUAAUAUCAUACAUGUUUAUGGAGACGGUCAUCUCUGCUUAUCUAUGGGAAAGGUAAUAAUUCUCUCCUAAUUUUUUUUUCCGGUUGGAUUCUUUAGGAACACUUUUUGURAAGUCAUUCUUACCUUCAUUCUAAGCGUACAAAUCAGAAGUGGCAAU
rnacentral:lncRNA from 1 species